rnacentral:rRNA from 1 species
UGGGGAAUUUUGGACAAUGGACGCAAGUCUGAUCCAGCCAUGCCGCGUGCGGGAAGAAGGCCUUCGGGUUGUAAACCGCUUUUGUCAGGGAAGAAACGAGUUUCUCUAAUACAGAGACUUAAUGACGGUACCUGAAGAAUAAGCACCGGCUAACUACGUGCCAGCAGCCGCGGUAAUACGUAGGGUGCAAGCGUUAAUCGGAAUUACUGGGCGUAAAGCGUGCGCAGGCGGUUAUAUAAGACAGAUGUGAAAUCCCCGGGCUCAACCUGGGAACUGCAUUUGUGACUGUAUAGCUAGAGUACGGCAGAGGGGGAUGGAAUUCCGCGUGUAGCAGUGAAAUGCGCAGAUGUGCGGAGGAACACCGAUGGCGAAGGCAAUCCCCUGGGCCUGUACUGACGCUCAUGCACGAAAGCGUGGGGAGCAAACA